rnacentral:rRNA from 1 species
UUAAUUGAAGAGUUUGAUCAUGGCUCAGAUUGAACGCUGGCGGCAGGCUUAACACAUGCAAGUCGAGCGGUAGCACAGGGGAGCUUGCUCCCCGGGUGACGAGCGGCGGACGGGUGAGUAAUGUCUGGGAAACUGCCUGAUGGAGGGGGAUAACUACUGGAAACGGUAGCUAAUACCGCAUAACGUCGCAAGACCAAAGAGGGGGACCUUCGGGCCUCUUGCCAUCAGAUGUGCCCAGAUGGGAUUAGCUAGUAGGUGGGGUAAUGGCUCACCUAGGCGACGAUCCCUAGCUGGUCUGAGAGGAUGACCAGCCACACUGGAACUGAGACACGGUCCAGACUCCUACGGGAGGCAGCAGUGGGGAAUAUUGCACAAUGGGCGCAAGCCUGAUGCAGCCAUGCCGCGUGUGUGAAGAAGGCCUUCGGGUUGUAAAGCACUUU